rnacentral:hammerhead_ribozyme from 1 species
AAGCUGACGAAUCCCAAAUAGGACGAAACGCGCGUCCUGAAU